GUAGAGCAUUGGGCUAGUAUUCCAAAGGUCAUAGGUUCGAUUCACACCGUGGUCAGGCAUAUUUUUCAGGCAGAGUAACAUCACAAACAUCAAAGAAAUAACUGUUUUUAUAAUUGAGAUGCAUUAUCUGUCUGGAUGUAUUAACGCUCAAAUUUGUCCAAACAGAUAUAACAAUUCUCUCUGGUAUAAAAACAGCCAAUUGUACAUGUAAUUGUUUAUAUACUAGAUGGAAUAGGACACGUUCUACAAAGCUAAAUCAUGUGCAGAGCUCGAAACAACGAAAGCUAGCA